rnacentral:rRNA from 1 species
GACGAACGCUGGCGGCGUGCUUAACACAUGCAAGUCGAACGGAAAGGCCCUGCUUUUGUGGGGUGCUCGAGUGGCGAACGGGUGAGUAACACGUGAGUAACCUGCCCUUGACUUUGGGAUAACUUCAGGAAACUGGGGCUCAUACCGGAUAGGAGCUCCUGCUGCAUGGUGGGGGUUGGAAAGUUUCGGCGGUUGGGGAUGGACUCGCGGCUUAUCAGCUUGUUGGUGGGGUAGUGGCUUACCAAGGCUUUGACGGGUAGCCGGCCUGGGAGGGUGACCGGCCACAUUGGGACUGAGAGACGGCCCAGACUCCUACGGGAGGCAGAAGUGGGGAAUAUUGCACAAUGGGCGGAAGCCUGAUGCAGCAACGCCGCGUGCGGGAUGAAGGGCUUCGGGUUGUAAACCGCUUUCGCCUGUGACGAAGCGGGAGUGACGGUAAUGGGUAAAGAAGCACCGGCUAACUACGUG